rnacentral:rRNA from 1 species
CCUACGGGAUGCUGCAGUGAGGAAUAUUGGUCAAUGGCCGAGAGGCUGAACCAGCCAAGUCGCGUGAGGGAAGACGGCCCUACGGGUUGUAAACCUCUUUUGUCGGGGAGCAAAGAGAGUCACGUGUGUCUCAUUGAGAGUACCCGAAGAAAAAGCAUCGGCUAACUCCGUGCCAGCAGCCGCGGUAAUAGGGAGGAUGCGAGCGUUAUCAGGAUUUAUUGGGGUUAAAGGGUGCGCAGGCGGAGGUGCAAGUCAGCGGUCAAAUUGCGGGGCUCAACCCCGUACUGCCGUUGAAACUGCAUCCCUUGAGUGCGCGAGAAGUAUGCGGAAUGC